rnacentral:rRNA from 1 species
GUGCCAGCCGCCGCGGUAAUACGGAGGGUGCAAGCGUUAUCCGGAAUUACUGGGUUUAAGGGGUGCGUAGGCGGCUUUAUAAGUCAGAGGUGAAAGCCCGCAGCUUAACUGUGGAAUUGCCUUUGAUACUGUAGAGCUUGAAACAGGUUGAGGUUGGCGGAAUGUGACAUGUAGCGGUGAAAUGCAUAGAUAUGUCAUAGAACACCAAUUGCGAAGGCAGCUUGCCAGAGCCUUAUUGACGCUGAGGCACGAAAGCGUGGGGAGCGAACAGGAUUAGAUACCCUGGUAGUCCACGCCCUAAACGAUGCUUACUCGAUAUUCGUCCUUCGGGAUGAGUGUCCAAGCGAAAGCGAUAAGUAAGCCACCUGGGGAGUACGCCCGCAAGGGUGAAACUUAAAGGAAUUGGCGGGG